GAAGAAGCAGAAAGCGAAAGUGUGAGGGAGUGGAAGUACCCGAGAGAAACGAGACGAGAGCGACGGUGGCGAAAGGUACGGUCAGAGAGGUCGCAGGUCGAGACAAAGAGAGAAAACGACCACUGCGAGAGACCGGACGUUGGCACAAGCCGAUGACGGAGGUAAAACGCGCGAUACGCUAGAGAAAGAAGUCCACCAUGAAGGAACAAAACAGGCAAGUAGGGAUCACGGAGCACUGUGGCAAAGAGGUCGAAUUGGUGACGCGGAUAGAGAGAGAGAGAGAGUUGCCCUCGAGUAACACAACCCCGUGAUACGCAGAGAGGGUGAGGCACUCGAGUUCGACGCAUGCAGAGGAAUUCUUGAAUGUGACAGAGAGUCAGAGGAACUCGCGGUAUUUACAAGGGUGUCUGAAAAAGGCGGUGUGAAAAAGGCGCAGUCCCGCGCUUCUUCAGGAUGUUUCCGUGGCAGACCAGACGCGAGAGCUCGCCGCAGAGAGGAGGUUCCGGCAUUUCUUCGCAUUUUUUUUCUGGCGGCAUGCCCCAGAAAAGCACAUGGCAUUUUUUCCUUGUCCACCGCAUCACUCCUUUUCCCCG
rnacentral:lncRNA from 1 species